rnacentral:rRNA from 1 species
AGCAUAAUCACUUGUUCUUUAAAUAGGGACUCGUAUCAACGGCAUCACGAGGGCUAUACUGUCUCCUUUCUCCAAUCAGUGAAACUGAUCUUCCCGUGAAGAAGCGGGAAUCAUUAUAUAAGACGAGAAGACCCCAUGGAGCUUUAAACUCAAUAUAUAUUUCUACGCACUUAUAUCACUAUAGCCUAAGAAAAUUAUAUAUUAGUUUUAGGUUGGGGGGACCGCGGAGAAAAAAUUAACCUCCACGACAAAUAGGCCAACGCCUUUAUCUAUGAACCACAAUUCUAAGAAUCAAUAAACUGAUGUUUAAUGAUCCAAUUUUUUGAUCAACGAACCAAGUUACCCUGGGGAUAACAGCGCAAUCUACUUCAAGAGCUCCUAUCGACAAGUGGG